UACGAAGGGGGCUAGCGUUGCUCGGAAUUACUGGGCGUAAAGGGCGCGUAGGCGGAUCGUUAAGUCAGGGGUGAAAUCCCGGGGCUCAACCUCGGAAUUGCCCUUGAUACUGGCGAUCUUGAGUAUGAGAGAGGUAUGUGGAACUCCGAGUGUAGAGGUGAAAUUCGUAGAUAUUCGGAAGAACACCAGUGGCGAAGGCGACAUACUGGCUCAUUACUGACGCUGAGGCGCGAAAGCGUGGGGAGCAAACAGG
rnacentral:rRNA from 2 species